rnacentral:rRNA from 1 species
AUGAAUCCUAGGAGAAGAGCUAGAUCUGACGAUCCAGCUUGGAAGUAUGGGCUUUGGCCGGAUUUAGAGAGGAAAGAUUUACUCCAGUGUACAUUAUGUGGCAAGAUAAUCCAUGCUGGAGUGAAAAGGCUGAAGCAGCACCUUUCUGGGGGUUCCAGUGAUGCGGAUAAGUGUCCCGAGGCAUCCAUGGAGAUUAGGAUAGAGAUGCGCAAUUCCUUAAACAGUGGAAAGUUUAAAGCUACAGAGCGAUAUAUUGAUGAGGAGGAUGAAGCUGAAGUUCAAAGGCGCCGUUCUGUCAUGUACACAAGAUAA